CCCAUAAUUUAACUUCUAAGUUCAUACUAAUUGUAUUAGGAUAAUUAUAUGAAAAUGUAGCCAUAUUAGAUACAAACGAGAAACCAGGAAUUGGUACCAGCAGGUUAACGAUUCCGGAUAUAAGUCUCUGAGUGCCACUAAUGCUUGAUUUAGACAUUAUAUGAUCCAUCAACAUAUCACAAUAGUCCUGGCGAAGAUAGGAUUUUGGUUUUUUGAAAAUCCGGUCCAUAAAAUGUUCGUAUUUCAUGAGUUUAUUCGAUAAGUAUAAUUUUAUUCUUUCUAGCUUUUCUUGAUUUUUAUUAUAAUCGAAGUAUUUAAUUCUUCUCGAUGACUUACAAAAACUAACUAACAUACAUUUCGUGUUGGUCGCGGAAACCAUUGUUGGCAAUAGUAACACCAUCGUGGAUAAGGUCGCUGGUGGAACUAAAGAUAAUGGUAUAUUAGCACCUACACCUGCUAUAACUGCGGAAUUCUGUUUAUUAAAAUCUUUAAAUAAUUUGUCACAUGAAGUGUUUUGAAAUGUAUGUAAUAUGAAUUCCGCAAAAGAAUCAUUUGAAAACAAUUUAGUUUUUUCUGUUGUAACUUCUUUCUUAUGAAAUUCUUUCAAUUUUAAAUUAAAAUUUUUUAUAUCUUCCAGUGUGCCAAAUUUACUGUGUUUCAACAAAUUGAAAAAUUUCUUUAAAAUUUUAGGAAUAUCUUGUUUUGCUUCCUUAAUAUCUAAAAUUAAAUUUUUAAACAAUAAUAUAGCUUCAGCAACUUUACAGUCCAUAUCAUUCGAGAUACCAAAUUCAUCCUCCUGCUUAUUUCCUAAUGUUAUAUUGUUUGAAUAUAUUAUUAUACUUAUUAAUAUUGACAUAAAUGAAAAUGAAAAAAUAUUAUCACAGAACCUACCUCUAACAUAUCCGAUUUUCAUGUUAAAAAAAGUUUUAAUUAUUAUAUAUAAGCAAGUAACUCUUACAAAAGCUAAAUUCAUUCAAUUUGAUAAAUUUUAAAUAUUACUGAUCAACUCGAAUACACUAAGAGUAUAUCUACUAUGUCAGUACAUUAAUUUCAAAACGUUUAUCAAAACAGUGACNA